CAGCAGCCGCGGUAAUACGUAGGGGGCAAGCGUUAUCCGGAAUUACUGGGCGUAAAGGGUGCGUAGGCGGUUUAUCAAGUCAGGGGUGAAAGGCUACGGCUCAACCGUAGUAAGCCUCUGAAACUGGUGAACUUGAGUGUAGGAGAGGAAAGUGGAAUUCCCAGUGUAGCGGUGAAAUGCGUAGAUAUUGGGAGGAACACCAGUGGCGAAGGCGACUUUCUGGACUAUAACUGACGCUGAGGCACGAAAGCGUGGGGAGCAAACAGGAUUAGAUACCCUGGUAGUCCACGCUGUAAACGAUGAGUACUAGGUGUCGGCUGUCAAAGGUCGGUGCCGGAGUUAACACAUUAAGUACUCCGCCUGGGAAGUACGCUCGCAA
rnacentral:rRNA from 1 species